UCGGGAAUUUUGGGCAAUGGGCGAAAGCCUGACCCAGCAACGCCGCGUGAGGGAUGAAGUAUUUCGGUAUGUAAACCUCGAAAGAAUGGGAAGAAUAAAUGACGGUACCAUUUAUAAGCUCCGGUUAACUACGUGCCAGCAGCCGCGGUAAUACGUAGGGAGCAAGCGUUGUUCGGAUUUACUGGGCGUAAAGGGCGCGUAGGCGGCGCGGUAAGUCACUUGUGAAAUCUCUGAGCUUAACUCAGAACGGCCAAGUGAUACUGCUGUGCUAGAGUGCGGAAGAGGCAACCGGAAUUCUUGGUGUAGCGGUGAAAUGCGUAGAUAUCAAGAGGAACACCUGAGGCGAAGGCGGGUUGCUGGGCCGACACUGACGCUGAUGCGCGAAAGCCAGGGGAGC
rnacentral:rRNA from 1 species